AGAGCGAACGCUGGCGGCAGGCCUAACACAUGCAAGUCGAACGAACUCUUCGGAGUUAGUGGCGCACGGGUGCGUAACGCGUGGGAAUCUGCCCCUUGGUUCGGAAUAACAGUUGGAAACGACUGCUAAUACCGGAUGAUGACGAAAGUCCAAAGAUUUAUCGCCAAGGGAUGAGCCCGCGUAGGAUUAGCUAGUUGGUGAGGUAAAGGCUCACCAAGGCAACGAUCCUUAGCUGGCCUGAGAGGAUGAUCAGCCACACUGGGACUGAGACACGGCCCAGACUCCUACGGGAGCAGCAGUAGGAAUA
rnacentral:rRNA from 1 species